CUACGGGUCGCAGCAGUGAGGAAUAUUGCACAAUGGGGGGAACCCUGAUGCAGCAACGCCGCGUGGAGGAUGACGCAUUUCGGUGUGUAAACUCCUUUUAUAUGUCAAGAAAAUGACGGUAGCAUAUGAAUAAGCACCGGCUAACUCCGUGCCAGCAGCCGCGGUAAUACGGAGGGUGCAAGCGUUACUCGGAACACUGGGCGUAAAGGACGCGUAGGCGGGUUGGAAAGUCAGGUGUGAAAUCCUACAGCUUAACUGUAGAACUGCACUUGAAACUUCUAAUCUAGAGUAUGGGAGAGGGAGAUGGAAUUAGUGGUGUAGGGGUAAAAUCCGUAGAUAUCACUAGGAAUACCUAAAGCGAAGGCGAUCUCCUGGAACAUUACUGACGCUAAGGCGUGAAAGCGUGGGGAGCAAACAGGAUUAGAUACCCUUGUAGUC
rnacentral:rRNA from 1 species